ensembl:rRNA 5S_rRNA 5S ribosomal RNA
GUCUGCGGCCAUACCACCCUGAAUGCGCACGAUCUUGUCUAAUCUCAGAAGCUAAGCAGGGUUGGGACUGGUUACUACUUGGAUGGGAAAAUGUUGGCAUUAGCGUCAUUGAAAUUAUUUCCUCUGACC